GCAAGCGGCUCGAUUCGUUUGCACUCCUAAUUGGAACCAUUCAAAGACGCUUAGCAUGGCCCUUGUGCAAGGAUCUCACGCACAAAUUGAGAAGUGGUCCGAAUUUUU